CGGCCGAUCCGCUCGGCUUUUAUUAAAAUCUGGCAGAGACGGCUAGGUUCACUCGGGCCACCUGUUUCUGUGCCGUGUGAACCCCGUUUGUUUUCUCGAUUUUUGGUAGAACACCGCGUUGAAUUCCACCGUUUGGCAGCCUGACAAUGCCUCCGCGUCGCCGUUUCUCAUUAAAAUCGCCAACGUCACGGCUAAUAGUUCCAAAUCUCAUCGAGCGACCCGACGAGAUCAUACAUCUCGGUUCAGAAGACUUCCUAACUCCGCAAUCCUCUUUGAAGCUGCUAGUUGGAAGCCACUGAUCGGUGUCCCUGUUCGGCGCGUUAAUCUCGGCGCACCUUUCGGUGGACCGGAAAGGACGUAGAGAGAUCUCCAGAGCCCGUCUGCGAAGUGUCAAAUCUUCAGAAGCAACGUGUUCCUCGUCGAACUCUCCCGAGGUGUAUUUUAAGCACGGUUCUCAAGAGGAGUAACGUUUUCGUUCCCUCGACUUUUCCCAACGAUCGGCGAUCUUAAAAUUAAGAUGAUCAAGUCGAGAGCGAAGAAGAGGCGUGCAUGAUAUAUUUUAAACCGACCGGACAUCCUUCCUCGGGCUUUCAUCGGGAUUCCAACGUUUCGAGGAUAAGACCGGCACGAGGAGAUGAAUAGCAUCCAUGCCGCAGACAAUGAUCAACACGUUUACAACAUAUUUUCUGUUUCUCCUGACUUACGUCGCCGUUAUGUUCGCCGUUAUGUUCGCCGCCCUGGUGUACAUGUUCUAUUACUUCCCCGUGUCUCUGUUCUAGCGUAAUUAGCGUUAUCAGAUCGAUGAUGUGGAAAUAGUCUCGGAGGAUAUCGAAACGUUUCGCGAAAACGCGGAAAUGAAAUUCUCUCGCUGGUUAAAGCGCGGCUUUUAAAUUGGGAUAUCCAUUCCCGAGCAUCGUCGAACAUAGAUAUUACGUAAGGGUAUUUAUCUUGAGGUAAAAAUAUCUCGGACGGUCAAUACGCGUCAAACUCCAUCGCGGCAACAAACCGGCGUCACAGGAUUUCCGUCGUGUUAACAAUCUAACGGCUCGUGUCCGCGCAACUAUAAACGGAUCGCAACAAAUCAGUCAGGAAACGUCUUCUUUGACGUUUGUGGCUCGUUAGACGAACAGUUUAGAACGCCCACAACGUCUUAGAUCUGGCUCGCGGGCGCUAACGUUAAGCUCUACAACGGUACCCUGAGACUACGAUGGUCUCUCACCGUGCAAAAAUAAAGUUUUUCGAUAUUUUUACAGAA